GGGGUUGUGGCUCAGCGGUAGAGCACUCGUCUAGCAUGUGUGAGGCCUUGGGUUCGAUCCUCAGCACCA
rnacentral:tRNA from 1 species